GAUCCUGGCUCAGGACGAACGCUGGCGGCGUGCCUAACACAUGCAAGUCGAACGGAGAAUUUUUAUUUUCGGUAGAAUUCUUAGUGGCGAACGGGUGAGUAACGCGUAGGCAACCUGCCCUUUAGACGGGGACAACAUUCCGAAAGGAGUGCUAAUACCGGAUGUGAUCAUCGUGCCGCAUGGCAGGAUGAAGAAAGAUGGCCUCUACAAGUAAGCUAUCGCUAAAGGAUGGGCCUGCGU
rnacentral:rRNA from 1 species